UACGUAGGGGGCUAGCGUUGUCCGGAAUCAUUGGGCGUAAAGAGCGCGUAGGCGGCUAGAUAAGUCCGGUGUGAAAGUCACAGGCUCAACCUGUGAAUGCCGCUGGAAACUGUCUGGCUAGAGUCCGGAAGGGGCGAGUGGAAUUCCUGGUGUAGCGGUGAAAUGCGCAGAUAUCAGGAGGAACACCAAUGGCGAAGGCAGCUUGCUGGGCUUCUUCUGACACUGAGGUACGAAAGCGUGGGGAGCGAACAGG
rnacentral:rRNA from 1 species